rnacentral:rRNA from 1 species
CCUACGGGUGGCAGCAGUGGGGAAUAUUGCACAAUGGGGGAAACCCUGAUGCAGCAACGCCGCGUGAGUGAAGACGGAUCUCGGUAUGGUAAGCUCCAUCAGUAGGGAAGAAGAUGACGGUACCUGUGCCAGAAGCCCCGGCUAAAUACGUGCCAGCAGCCGCGGUAACACGGAGGCGGCAAGCGUUAUCCGGAUUUACUGGGGGUAAAGGGGGCGUAGACGGUGCGACAAGUGUGAAGUGAAUGCCGGGGGCUCAACCCCGGGACUGCAUUGGAAACUGCCUGACGGGAGUGCUGGAGAGGGACGCGGAAUUCGUGGUGUAGCGGUGAAAUGCGUAGAUAUCGGGAAGAACACUGGUGGCGAAGGCGGCUUGCUGGACAGUAACUGACGUUGAGGCUCGAAAGCGUGGGGAGCGAACAGGAUUAGAUACCCUAGUAGUC